CCCACUCUAUACUCUAUACUCUAUACUCUCACUUGUGAGAGCGGAUGCAUUUGCACCGGAAGCUAUCUGUCUGCCUGAGAGACCGCGACUAAUACGAUAGACCUCGAAUCUUGCCUCGCACUUUCGAUUUUGUACCAUGCAAUGUAAAUACCGAUAAUAUAGUAAUUUUUGUAUGUUCGUAAAUGAUUCUGUGUUAUAACUUUUACGUUUUUUUAUACAGAAACGUAAAAGGGGCGGAAGUUACACCGUUAAAGUUUCAGAUGAGAUAUGCAGCAAGGCAUCGGCGUCAUGCUACAAAGAAGCUUAAAACCGUACCUCAAGUAAAUGAGGUAAAAACCAUAAAAAAUGUAGGAGAUACUUUAACUAGCAACGAAUCCCCACUAGCUGAUAUAUAUGGCGAAGAGAUAUAUCGCCUUGAAACGAAAAUAUUUCAUGCUGAUGAAAAAUGGCAUAUCUUGUAGUAGGACCGAGAAUAAAAAAAUUUUUAUUUACAAAUUUGUAGGUUGAUGGAACUUUCGAUAUUUGGCCACAAGAUAAGCAGAACAAAAUCACAGUUUGUGACUAGCGUGGCAGAAACUGUAACAAGAAAAGUAUGCUUUGUUUCUUUAUAUUAGCAUUUUUAAACAAAAAUCAUUUUUUAUACGUAGGUUAUUCCAAUAGCAUUCGCUUUAAUCAGCAACAGAACAGCGGAUACGUACAGAGCACUGUUCCAAACAUUGAAAAAUGCAUUUCCAUUGUUGGCACCAAAUAAAAUCAUGUCUGAUUAUGAGGAUGCUAUGAGGAUUGGUUUUAAGUGCGAGUUCCAGAAGCACAAAUCCUUGGCUGCCGGUUCCACUUUUCACAGGCUACAUACAAUAAUGCACUAAAACAUAAAGUAGCUUUAUCAAAAAAGCAAAAACAGAAUAACCCUGCGAAGCAUAAGAUUAUCAAAAAAUCGAUUGCUUUAGCUUUACUGCCUAGUAAGUGCAUAUUUGAAGGGUACAAAAAUGUAGAAACAGAAUGCCAAGAAAAAUAUGCAACCGAUCCUAGCCUGCUGACUUUUUUGAAAUACUUUGAAAAGCAAUGGUUACCUGCUACUAAAGAAAUUUCAAUUUAUAGUCAAGCAUACAGAACAAAUAAUGUAAUUGAAGCAUACCAUCGAAACAUACAAAGGUCCAUUAAUAAAAAGCCGAACCUCUUGAACUUUUCAAACGGAUUAUUAGAUAUUCAAAGAAUGGCAAGACUCCACUUUGAGCAAGCUUACAAUUUUGAUCUGGAAGACCUGAAAACAACACGGAAGAAAUAGGGCUUAAAAAACGAAAAUAUAAAAGAAGGAUGGGACCACUUAGAUGGUAUUAAAGAGUUCUGGACAAUCAGUCUUUUUUUAGACCAGCUUUCUUAUUUCGAUGAGCAAUCAUGCGAUAGCAGCAGUGGUACUGGCGUUGACGCAAGGGUCGAAGAAAUGGAGAACGCUCAAUUUCAAGACGUUGAUGAGAAAAUGACAGAAGAUAUAAAUAAUUAUGAGGUACCACUUGCAGAAAACGAUAUUGUGCCUGCAGAGACGGAUAUUAAUAACGAUCAGCAAAAAGAUGACGAUGCAAAUAUCAAGAAACGGUAUAGCCACGAAGGUCAACAGCUUACAUAUGCUGAAAGCAAUAUUUUGUUCCAUGUUGUUGACCAAGAAACCGGAUCCAUCAAACAGUUAGAUAUGCAAUAAUGCUAUAUUUCUAACAAAAAACGCUGUGUCUACUCCUAAUGUUUAGAACAAAAUGUGAAUAUCCGCUUUUCGAUUUAUUGUAAACAAUUAACCCUUUCAUAAAAGGUUAACGAGGCGUUUUAAAAACUGUUGUUAAAACUGGUGUUAAAACCUUUGAAAAAACGUUGGUAUGACAUUUAUAUGACAUUUUAUAAUCAUUUUAA